rnacentral:rRNA from 1 species
GACAGAGGGUGCAAACGUUGCUCGGAAUCACUGGGCGUAAAGGGCGUGUAGGCGGGAAGGAAAGUCAGAUGUGAAAGCCCUGGGCUCAACCCAGGAACUGCAUUUGAAACUCCCUUUCUUGAGUGUCGGAGAGGAAAGCGGAAUUCCUGGUGUAGAGGUGAAAUUCGUAGAUAUCAGGAGGAACACCGGUGGCGAAGGCGGCUACCUGGACCAGCACUGACACUGAGGCACGAAAGCGUGGGGAGCAAACAGG